UACGUAGGUGGCAAGCGUUGUCCGGAUUUAUUGGGCGUAAAGCGAGCGCAGGCGGUUUCUUAAGUCUGAUGUGAAAGCCCCCGGCUCAACCGGGGAGGGUCAUUGGAAACUGGGAAACUUGAGUGCAGAAGAGGAGAGUGGAAUUCCAUGUGUAGCGGUGAAAUGCGUAGAGAUCUGGAGGAAUACCGGUGGCGAAGGCGGCCCCCUGGACAAAGACUGACGCUCAGGUGCGAAAGCGUGGGGAGCAAACAGGAUUAGAUACCCUGGUAGUCCACGCCGUAAACGAUGAGUGCUAAGUGUUGGAGGGUUUCCGCCCUUCAGUGCUGCAGCUAACGCAUUAAGCACUCCGCCUGGGGAGUACGACCGCAAGGUUGAA
rnacentral:rRNA from 1 species